rnacentral:rRNA from 1 species
UACGGGGGGGGCAAGCGUUGUUCGGAAUUACUGGGCGUAAAGGGCUCGUAGGCGGCCAACUAAGUCAGACGUGAAAUCCCUCGGCUUAACCGGGGAACUGCGUCUGAUACUGGAUGGCUUGAAUCCGGGAGAGGGAUGCGGAAUUCCAGGUGUAGCGGUGAAAUGCGUAGAUAUCGUAAGGAAGACCAGUGGCGAAGGCGGGUCUCUGGACAGUUCCUGACGCUGAGGCACGAAGGCCAGGGGAGCAAACGGG